rnacentral:rRNA from 1 species
CCUACGGGAGGCAGCAGUGAGGAAUAUUGGUCAAUGGCCGGAAGGCUGAACCAGCCAAGCCGCGUGAAGGACGAAGGUGCUAUGCAUUGUAAACCUCUUUUGUCAGGGGACAAAAUCAGGCACGAGAGCCUGACUGUGGGUACUUGAAGAAUAAGCAUCGGCUAACUCCGUGCCAGCAGCCGCGGUAAUACGGAGGAUGCGAGCGUUAUCCGGUUUUAUUGGGUUUAAAGGGUGCGUAGGCGGACUUUUAAGUCAGCGGGAAAAGCCCGGGGCUCAACCCCGGCGAGCCGUUGAAACUGGCUGGCUUGAGAAGGCUAGAGGUAGGCGGAAUGCGCAGUGUAGCGGUGAAAUGCUUAGAUAUUGCGCAGAACUCCGAUUGCGAAGGCAGCAUACCGGCGGCUGUCUGACGCUGAGGCACGAAAGCGUGGGGAUCGAACAGGAUUAGAUACCCCUGUAGUC